CAUAAUUUGUCUCCCUUUCUCUCUCUCUCCGCUCUCUCUCUUUCUCCUCUUUCGCAUGUAUUAACUGUUGAGGGGAUUGCUGUCUGGUUCGAUGUCAUUCAUGUGAAGCUUUAACGUUAAUGUAGUAUUGAGUGAUUUCGGACCAGGCUUCAUUCCCCCCAACUAUAUUUGUUUAGCAUUCGGACGGUGUAUUGAGACUUUUGUUGUCGUAUACUUGUGAUUGUGAUUAAUUUGUUUCUCUGGUGAAGAUAACAUAAUUCAGCUAUCGGAGGUCGCAGUACUAAUUAACUGCUUGUAUGCUUUCGGUUGAAGAGAUUAACGAUAAAAUGAGUAUAUUCUCUCGCUUGCUAGCGCUAUAUCCAGGAACCAGGAGAGCAAGAAAGGAGCCUGUCUUGAGGCUUACAAGGUUUGGCUUUCUGAGCUUUUGUGCCUCUUUUAGUUUGAUAUGAUCUUCAGGGAUAUCACCAUAACUUCUCAUUUGUAGCAGGCGGGUCAGAUAUUAACUCUUGCAGGUCAACUUUAAAUAAAUAAAUAAAACUAGAACUACCAUAACUGGGAUCAGAUUUACAUUUGUUGCCAUAUAUAUAUAUAUAUAUAUAUAUAUAUAUAUAUAUAUAUAUAUAUAUAUAGAGAGAGAGAGAGAGAGAGAGAGAGAGAGAGAGAGAGAGAGGAACAGUAGCUCCGUGGCUGCUUUAACUUGAUAUUAGGAGGAUUGUUAGUCAAAAUAAUCAAAUCGUGUAUAAAUUUUAUCAACUAAUUAGCUAAGAUCGAUGAACAAGCAGUUGUAAAUUGUAAUUGCACUGUUAAUUAAUUACAUGAUAUUACUACGUUAAUUAAUGAGUGCACUUCGUAUCCAUGUUCUCUCCUUCUUAGGGUCUCAUGUUAGAGGCUCUCCUUUACUAAAAAAAGAAGAAGAAAAAAACAUGAUGUGACGACAAUAUCAACAUUUGUUAGUGUAGAAAUACCACCAUCUUUUGUGGGGAUUCUCAUGUUGAAAGUAAUAAAAAAAAAAUGAAAGAUUCGAAUCGAAGUGCUGCUUGGUGCGAUGUGAAAGGGAUGAAGAUGGAAGAUCAAAGGGGGCGGAAAAAACAAGUUCAAUCGGUUGAUCACCUCUAGAGAAUCUGCUCGUGCCCACAUUUUGAUGUAACUACUUUUCCAUGCAUCAAUAUUGAAGGGCUGUGCUGCUUGCUUAAAAUCUAGGGUUAGGGUUACCAAAGAACUAAAAUUUCUCUCUUUA